GAUGAACGCUGGCGGCGUGCCUAAUACAUGCAAGUCGAGCGAACAGAUGAGGAGCUUGCUCCUCUGACGUUAGCGGCGGACGGGGGAGUAACACGUGGAUAACCUACCUAUAAGACUGGGAUAAAUUCGUGAAACCGGAGCUAAUACCGGACAAUAUAUUGAACCGUAUGGUUCAUUAGUGAAAGACGGUUUUGAUGUCACUCAUAGAUGGAUCCGCGCCGCAUUAGCUAGUUGGUAAGGUAACGGCUUACCAAGGCAACGAUGCGUAGCCGACCUGAGAGGGUGAUCGGCCACACUGGAACUGAGACACGGUCCAGACUCCUACGGGAGGCAGCAGUAGGGAAUCUUCCGCAAUGGGCGAAAGCCUGACGGAGCAACGCCGCGUGAGUGAUGAAGGUCUUCGGAUCGUAAAACUCUGUUAUUAGGGAAGAACAAAUGUGUAAGUAACUAUGCACGUCUUGACGGUACCUAAUCAGAAAGCCACGGCUAACUACGUG
rnacentral:rRNA from 1 species